AACUGAAGAGUUUGAUCAUGGCUCAGAUUGAACGCUGGCGGCAUGCCUAACACAUGCAAGUCGAACGCUGA
rnacentral:rRNA from 1 species